rnacentral:rRNA from 1 species
AUUGAACGCUGGCGGCAGGCCUAACACAUGCAAGUCGAGCGAGAGGCGGACGGGAGAGUAAUGUAUGGGGACUGCCCGAUCGAGGGGGAUAACUACUGGAAACGGUGGCUAAUACCGCAUACUAUCGGAUAACCCAUAUGGGAGUAGCUAGUAGGUGGGGUAAAGGCUCACCUAGGCGACGAUCCCUAGCUGGUCUGAGUGGCUGAUCAGCCAAAGUGGAACUGAGACACGGCCCAGACGCCUACGGAGGCAGCGGUGGGGAAUAUUGCGCAAUGGGCGCAAGCCGGAUGCAGCCAUGCCGCGUGUAUGAAGAAGGCCUUAGGGUUGUAAAGUACUUUCAGCGGGGAGGCGUUACCCGAAGAAGAAGCACCGGCUAACUCCGUGCCAGCAGCCGCGGUAAUAC